GGAUCAGAUUGUUGGUCGUGCCUCGGUACGUACUGGCAUUAUUGGUUCCUACCUUCUGAAGAACCGCGAUGUCAUUAAUUUGGUGUCGUGGGGAAUCAGGACUGUUACUUUGAAAAAAUUAGAGUGCUCAAAGCAGGCUUAUGCUUGAAUACAUUAGCAUGGAAUAAUGAAAUAGGACGUUUGAUUCUAUUUUGUUGGUUUCUAGGAUCGACGUA
rnacentral:rRNA from 1 species